AUUAAACGCUGGCGGCAUGCCUUACACAUGCAAGUCGAACGGCAGCACGGGGGCAACCCUGGUGGCGAGUGGCGAACGGGUGAGUAAAGCAUCGGAACGUGCCCUGGAGUGGGGGAUAACGUAGCGAAAGUUACGCUAAUACCGCAUAUUCUGUGAGCAGGAAAGCAGGGGAUCGCAAGACCUUGCGCUCUGGGAGCGGCCGAUGUCGGAUUAGCUAGUUGGUGGGGUAAAGGCCUACCAAGGCGACGAUCCGUAGCGGGUCUGAGAGGAUGAUCCGCACACUGGGACUGAGACACGGCCCAGACUCCUACGGGAGGCAGCAGUGGGGAAUUUUGGACAAUGGGCGAAAGCCUGAUCCAGCCAUGCCGCGUGAGUGAAG
rnacentral:rRNA from 1 species